AACCACUUCGGUGGUCAUCCGUAAAAAUUUGAACGAUACAGAGAAGAUUAGCAUGGCCCCUGCGCAAGGAUGACACGCAUAAAUCGAGAAGUAUCGCACUUUUUG
rnacentral:snRNA from 1 species